AGAGUUUGAUCAUGGCUCAGGACGAACGCUGGCGGCGUGCUUAACACAUGCAAGUCGAACGGAAAGGCCCAUACUUUGUGUGGGUGCUCGAGUGGCGAACGGGUGAGUAACACGUGGGUGAUCUGCCUUGUACUCUGGGAUAAGCCUGGGAAACUGGGUCUAAUACUGGAUAGGACUGCAUCGUAGGUGGUGUGGUGGAAAGAUUUUUUGGUAUGAGAUGAGCCCGCGGCCUAUCAGCUUGUUGGUGGGGUAAUGGCCUACCAAGGCGGCGACGGGUAGCCGGCCUGAGAGGGUGGACGGCCACAUUGGGACUGAGAUACGGCCCAGACUCCUACGGGAGGCAGCAGUGGGGAAUAUUGCACAAUGGGCGCAAGCCUGAUGCAGCGACGCCGCGUGGAGGAUGACGGCCUUCGGGUUGUAAACUCCUUUCGCUAGGGACGAAGCCAUGUUUGUGGUGACGGUACCUGGAUAAGAAGCACCGGCUAACUACGUGCCAGCAGCCGCGGUAAUACGUAGGGUGCGAGCGUUGUCCGGAAUUACUGGGCGUAAAGAGCUCGUAGGUGGUUUGUCGCGUCGUCUGUGAAAUUCCGGGGCUUAACUUCGGGCGUGCAGGCGAUACGGGCAUAACUUGAGUGCUGUAGGGGAGACUGGAAUUCCUGGUGUAGCGGUGAAAUGCGCAGAUAUCAGGAGGAACACCGAUGGCGAAGGCAGGUCUCUGGGCAGUAACUGACGCUGAGGAGCGAAAGCAUGGGUAGCGAACAGGAUUAGAUACCCUGGUAGU
rnacentral:rRNA from 1 species